rnacentral:rRNA from 1 species
CGUCCUGACGGAGCACGCCGCGUGAGUGAUGAAGGUCUUCGGAUCGUAAAACUCUGUUAUUAGGGAAGAACAAACGUGUAAGUAACUGUGCACGUCUUGACGGUACCUAAUCAGAAAGCCACGGCUAACUACGUGCCAGCAGCCGCGGUAAUACGUAGGUGGCAAGCGUUAUCCGGAAUUAUUGGGCGUAAAGCGCGCGUAGGCGGUUUUUUAAGUCUGAUGUGAAAGCCCACGGCUCAACCGUGGAGGGUCAUUGGAAACUGGAAAACUUGAGUGCAGAAGAGGAAAGUGGAAUUCCAUGUGUAGCGGUGAAAUGCGCAGAGAUAUGGAGGAACACCAGUGGCGAAGGCGACUUUCUGGUCUGUAACUGACGCUGAUGUGCGAAAGCGUGGGGAUCAAACAGGAUUAGAUACGGGGGGGAUAUUCCCA